AGGGGAUAAGGACUGCCCCGCCUCCUCGGUCCUCUCCCCCUGCUCCACUCCCCCACUUCUCCCAGAUCCGCCUUCCCUUCUCGUUCCUCACCCCUCCUUCCUCCCUUCCGCUCGGGACUCACCUUGCCGGGCGUGUUCGUCACCGGCCACCUCGCCCGGUCGCGCCCACCAAGGUCCCCAGCGCUUGAGGAUGUGUCGAGCAGCCGCGUCGUCGUCGACUACGUCGGCUACAUGGACGGGAUCCACCCCGGAGCGCCUGCAUCGCCGCCACGCCUUGUCUUCUUCUUCCUCGGCUCCGACGCACUCCGCGACGGUUCCGGAGCCAGCGAGCCUUCCCCGAGCUUCCUUUUGCACACCUACAGGCUUCCGACACCGAGACCGACGCCGCUGCUACCCAGUACGACUACGGUGUUGACGACCCCUCUCUCUUGUCAGAGCAACCAGACGUUGGAGUCCAGGAGCCAGACGCCACCGUUGAUGAUGACUCCUACUACUCGGGAGGUGCCUACUACUACGUGCAGCCCGCUGACGACGACCAGGAGUAGUUUAGGAGGACCCCAGGCAGGAGGCAUGCGCCUCUUUCGAUUUGUAUCCCGGUUUGUGCUAGCCUUCUUAAGGCAAACUUGUUUAACUUAUGUCUGUACUCAGAUAUUGUUGCUUCCGCUGACUCGUCUAUGAUCGAGCUCUUGUAUUCGAGCCUUCGAGGCCCCUGGCUUGUAAUAUGAUGCUUGUAUGACUUAUUUUCUUUGUAGAGUUGUGUUGUGAUAUCUUCCCGUGAGUCCCUGAUCUUGAUCGUACACGUUUGCGUGUAUGAUUAGUGUACGAUUGAAUCGGGGGCGUCACAUCUAUUGUUCAUGAACCUUGAUACUAGCACAUGUGCGCAAAAAGUGGCAUUGGGGUUGUUGGCAACCUUUCAUUCAAAAC
rnacentral:rRNA from 1 species